GAUGAACGCUAGCGGCGGGCUUAAUACAUGCAAGUCAAGGGGUAGCAAUACAACGGCGUACGGGUGCGUAACGCGUAUGGAACCUGCCCUUAUCUGGGGGAUAACUCGGGGAAACUCGAGCUAAUACCGCAUAAGAUAGUAGAAUGGCAUCAUUCAGCUAUUAAAGAUUUAUCGGAUAAGGAUGGCCAUGCGUAAGAUUAGAUAGUUGGUGGGGUAAAGGCUCACCAAGUCUAGGAUCUUUAGGGGCUCUGAGAGGAGAAUCCCCCACACUGGCAUUGAGAUACGGGCCAGACUCCUACGGGAGGCAGCAGUAGGGAAUAUUGGGCAAUGGGCGGAAGCCUGACCCAGCCACGCCGCGUGCAGGAAGAAGGCCCUCUGGGUUGUAAACUGCUUUUGAUUGGGAAGAAAGCAUCUCAUGCGUGGGAUUUUGACGGUACCAAUCGAAUAAGCCACGGCUAACUACGUGCCAGCCGCCGCCGUAACAC
rnacentral:rRNA from 1 species